UACGGGGGGGGCAAGCGUUGUUCGGAAUUACUGGGCGUAAAGGGCUCGUAGGCGGCCAACUAAGUCCGACGUGAAAUCCCCAGGCUUAACCUGGGAACUGCGUCGGAUACUGGAUGGCUUGAAUUCGGGAGAGGGAUGCAGAAUUCCAGGUGUAGCGGUGAAAUGCGUAGAUAUCUGGAGGAACACCGGUGGCGAAGGCGACAUCCUGGACCAACACUGACGCUGAGUGAGCGAAAGCCAGGGGAGCAAACGGG
rnacentral:rRNA from 1 species